rnacentral:lncRNA from 1 species
UGUGUGUGUGGGGGGGUGUGUGGUAGAAGGCUGUGUAUGGGGUGGGUGGUAGAAGGUGGGAUGUGUGGUAGAAGGCAGUAUUUGGGGUGUGUGGUAGAAGGCUGUGUGUGGGGAUGUGGGGUGUGUGGUAGAAGGCUGUGUAUGUGGGGUGUGUGGUAGAAGGCUGUGUGUGUGGGGAUGUGGGGUGUGGUAUAAGGCUGUGUGUGGGGUGUGUGGUAGAAGGCUGUGUGUGGGGUGUGUGGUAGAAGGCUGUGUAUGUGGGGUGUGUGGUAGAAGGCUGUGUGUGUGUGGAGGAACAAAGGAACAUGGAGGAACAAAGUGUUACACAACACACAUUUGUCUGUUCUUGCUCAUUUGGCUAGCUAAGAUACUAACCUGCCAAUACCUGAACACACUUUCUAUGUAUUCAGCAUCCAUUUACUGAUCUGAUUAAAACACAAUGUCUAUGUAUUCAUCAUCAUUAAAACAUCUUAUUAAAACACACAGUCCUUUCAGUGCUCCUAUGUAUGACUAACAGUAGGCUUAACAGUCAUUCCAUUGAUUUAAUCAUACACUCCUCCUCAUGGGGACAUGGGAAAUGACCCCACGAG